CCUGGCGGCAAUAGCGAGUGUGAACCACCCGAUCCCAUUCCGAACUCGGAAGUGAAACCGCUCAGCGCCGAUGAUAGUGUGGGAGAUCCCAUGUGAAAGUAGGACACUGCCAGGC
rnacentral:rRNA from 1 species